GACGAACGCUGGCGGCGCGCUUAACACAUGCAAGUCGAACGGAAAGGCCUGCUUUCCCUUGUGGAUUGCGGGUACUCGAGUGGCGAACGGGUGAGUAACACGUGAGUGAUCUGCCCCCAACUUGGGUAUAAGCCUGGGAAACUGGGUCUAAUUCCCGAUAGGACUGCAGGGUGGUGCCUGUGGUGGAAAACGAUUUUCUAGUGGUUGGGGAUGAGCUCGCGGCCUAUCAGCUUGUUGGUGGGGUAAUGGCCUACCAAGGCGGCGACGGGUAGCCGGCCUGGGAGGGUGGACGGCCACAUUGGGACUGAGAUACGGCCCAGACUCCUACGGGAGGCAGCAGUGGGGAAUAUUGCACAGUGGGCGGAAGCCUGAUGCAGCGACGCCGCGGGGGGGAUGACGGCCUUCGGGUUGUAAACUCCUUUCGACCGCGAGGAAGCCACCUGGUUGGAAGGGUGGUGACGGUAGUGGUAGAAGAAGCACCGGCUAACUACGUG
rnacentral:rRNA from 1 species